CCUACGGGAGGCAGCAGUGGGGAAUAUUGCGCAAUGGGCGAAAGCCUGACGCAGCGACACCGCGUGCGGGAUGAAGGCCUUCGGGUUGUAAACCGCUUUCGGCAGGGACGAAGCGAAAGUGACGGUACCUGCAGAAGAAGGUCCGGCUAACUACGUGCCAGCAGCCGCGGUAAGACGUAGGGACCGAGCGUUGUCCGGAUUCAUUGGGCGUAAAGCGCGCGCAGGCGGCUACGCAGGUCGGGUGUGAAAACCAGAGGCUCAACCUCUGGCCUGCACCCGAAACCGCGUGGCUAGAGGCAGGUAGGGGAGAUCGGAAUUCCUGGUGUAGCGGUGAAAUGCGCAGAUAUCAGGAGGAACACCGGUGGCGAAGGCGGAUCUCUGGGCCUGUCCUGACGCUGAGGUGCGAAAGCUAGGGGAGCAAACAGGAUUAGAUACCCUGGUAGUCCUAGCCGUAAACGUUGGAUGCUAGGUGUGGGCGGAUAUUGACCCCGUCCGUGCCGGAGCUAACGCAUUAAGCAUCCCCGCCUGGGGAGUACGGCCGCAAGGCUAAAAACUCAAAGGGAAUUG
rnacentral:rRNA from 1 species